CACAGUCCGGUUGUUCAUGGAGUUGGCUGCCAGGACAAUGGCCAGGUACCUAUCAAUGCUGAUCACAGUGAUGAAGAAUAUACCUCCAAAAAAGCCAAUGAAGAAGAAUGCGGUGGCUCGGCUUUGUGUUCUGGUCCAUCUCUGCAUCUCAGAUUCUUCCAGGAAGAGUGACCUCGGGUGAACUUGGAACCUCUGGCUCUGACAUUCCUCAUCUGCAAGACUGAGUGCAACUCAUUCUCAAGUCUGCCCACAGUGCUGUUCUGAGGAGAGGACCUGGCAAGGUGUGUUUCAUACAGCAGGCACUUAAUAAAUGCAUGUGGUGAGGAAGCAGAAGCACUUUGGAACUUUGCAAUCAUCCAGGUUGCCUGCAAACUCUUGUGCUGUUUACUUCCACCUUAGGCAUUGUGGAAACUUGGUCUGUAAAGUCUGUUUCAU